ensembl:lncRNA
GUUGAUGAUGGUAGUGAUAGCAGUUUAGUGAUGGUGGUGGUAGUAGUAAUGAUGAUGAUGGUAGUGAUAGCAGUUUAGUGAUGGUGGUGGUAGUAGUAAUGAUGAUGGUAGUGAUAGCAGUUUAGUGAUGGUGGUAGUAGUAAUGAUGAUGGUAGUGAUAGCAGUUUAGUGAUGGUGGUGGUAGUAGUAAUAAUGAUGAUGGUAGUGAUAGCAGUUUAGUGAUGGUGGUGGUAGUAGUAAUAAUGAUGAUGGUAGUGAUAGCAGUUUAGUGAUGGUGGUGGUUGUAGUAAUGAUGAUGAUGGUAGUGAUAGCAGUUUAGUGAUGGUGGUGGUAGUAGUAAUGAUGAUGAUGGUAGUGAUAGCAGUUUAGUGAUGGUGGUAGUAGUAAUGAUGAUGGUAGUGAUAACAGUUUAGUGAUGGUGGUGGUAGUAGUAAUAAUGAUGAUGGUAGUGAUAGCAGUUUAGUGAUGGUGGUGGUUGUAGUAAUGAUGAUGAUGGUAGUGAUAGCAGUUUAGUGAUGGUGGUAGUAGUAAUGAUGAUGGUAGUGAUAACAGUUUAGUGAUGGUGGUGGUGGUGGUAGUAGUAGUAAUGAUGAUGGUAGUGAUAGCAGUUUAGUGAUGGUGGUGGUAGUAGUAAUAAUGAUGAUGGUAGUGAUAGCAGUUUAGUGAUGGUGGUGGUAGUAGUAAUGAUGAUGGUAGUGAUAGCAGUUUAGUGAUGGUGGUGGUAGUAGUAAUAAUGAUGAUGGUAGUGAUAGCAGUUUAGUGAUGGUGGUGGUAGUAGUAGUAAUGAUGAUGGUAGUGAUAGCAGUUUAGUGAUGGUGGUGGUUGUAGUAAUGAUGAUGAUGGUAGUGAUAGCAGUUUAGUGAUGGUGGUGGUAGUAGUAAUGAUGAUGAUGGUAGUGAUAGCAGUUUAGUGAUGGUGGUGGUAGUAGUAAUAAUGAUGAUGGUAGUGAUAGCAGUUUAGUGAUGGUGGUGGUAGUAGUAAUAAUGAUGAUGGUAGUGAUAGCAGUUUAGUGAUGGUGGUGGUAGUAGUAAUGAUGAUGAUGGUAGUGAUAGCAGUUUAGUGAUGGUGGUGGUUGUAGUAAUGAUGAUGAUGGUAGUGAUAGCAGUUUAGUGAUGGUGGUGGUAGUAGUAAUAAUGAUGAUGGUAGUGAUAGCAGUUUAGUGAUGGUGGUGGUUGUAGUAAUGAUGAUGAUGGUAGUGAUAGCAGUUUAGUGAUGGUGGUGGUAGUAGUAAUGCUGAUGAUGGUAGUGAUAGCAGUUUAGUGAUGGUGGUGGUAGUAAUGAUGAUG